CCAAGGCGACGAUCCGUAGCUGGUCUGAGAGGACGAUCAGCCACACUGGGACUGAGACACGGCCCAGACUCCUACGGGAGGCAGCAGUGGGGAAUAUUGGACAAUGGGCGAAAGCCUGAUCCAGCAACGCCGCGUGAGGGAUGACGGCCUUCGGGUUGUAAACCUCUUUCAGCAGGGACGAAGCGCAAGUGACGGUACCUGCAGAAGAAGCACCGGCCAACUACGUGCCAGCAGCCGCGGUAAUACGUAGGGUGCAAGCGUUGUCCGGAAUUAUUGGGCGUAAAGGGCUCGUAGGCGGUUUGUCGCGUCGGGAGUGAAAACUCAGGGCUUAACCCUGAGCCUGCUUCCGAUACGGGCAGACUAGAGGUAUGCAGGGGAGAAUGGAAUUCCUGGUGUAGCGGUGAAAUGCGCAGAUAUCAGGAGGAACACCGGUGGCGAAGGCGGUUCUCUGGGCAUUACCUGACGCUGAGGAGCGAAAGUGUGGGGAGCGAACAGGAUUAGAUACCCUGGUAGUCCACACCGUAAACGUUGGGCGCUAGGUGUGGGACUCAUUCCACGAGUUCCGUGCCGCAGCUAACGCAUUAAGC
rnacentral:rRNA from 1 species